CGUGUUGCUAUGAGCGAAUUGAAAUCUCAUUGGCUUAGAGAAAGCUCUUUUACUUCUUUGGAGAAAAAGAAAUAAGUACUUUAGCUGUUUGGUAAUUCCUAUUGGUGUUAUUGCUGGUACAGGAUGGUAGUUGUUUGUUACUGUUGUUGUUGUUGUUGUUUCCGUGCGUGGAAUGUGUCUUUCUAUGUCUAAUUUUUUUUUCAAAUUACAUCUGUGGAAAAGGCAAGUUUGAGCAAUUUUUAAAAAAAACUUCACUAUUAAUGACCUAUACUAAAUUUCCUCAAAAAAAGCAUGAACUUUUUUAUACGUACUCCUUCUAAUUCUCUGGUGAUUGGUUUAAACUUUUUUUGCUACUGGUUGUGACUAUGUAGUAAUGAAUUAAAUCGUCAGGGACAAACCGGUUUGUCAAACUAAGCUAUUCCUAAUUAGCUUUUUGUGUGUGACGGGCCUUCAAAACCAAGGGGGGGGGCUCUUCGGAGAUAGCUCGGAUAGCUUUGAAUACACUAUUUCCUUUAAGGAAAAGAGAGACCUAACCAUGGUGGGGCUCACCUUAGAUAAUAUAUUUGGCUUUCACUUUCAAAACAAAUUCUUUAGCCUUAGUGUUUGUUUUAGUAAUAAUAUUUUAGUGUUGCGUUGGAUGCAGUUUCCGGGGUCUGGGAAAUUUAAAAGCAGUGGACCACCUUGCAAGAAAAUCUUGUUUCGCUAUAAAAUAACAAAGAAUCUCUGUUGCGCUGUUGGGGUAGCAUUUUGUUUCUUUGUUGCUGAUGGCAACGCGAGACUCAUUAAAAUAAAAAGUUGCAGAAAAAAAGAAUUUAUUAAAGGAGGCGGAGAUGCCUUUUGCAAAAUUUACAUAAAAAACUUAUGUAAAGAAAAUGACCUCUCUUAUGUAAAGAGAAAGAUCUUUUACGAAAACCAUUAUUUAAAAAGGGCUUCAAAACUGCAGUGUCAUGUUACCCCCGGGGGAUUUUAAAUGAGACUGGAAACUAGUUACCAAUUUCUUUUUUUCUUUUUACUAUUUGUGACGUAAACAAGUCACGAGUUGAAAAAGAAAAAGAAGCGCUCUUCGAAAGUGUAUAUGAAACCAAGGAAAACGAAAGGAAACUUGUCUUCACUGGAUUGCUCAUCUCUUCAUAACUAUAUGAGGUUAAUUUCAAAAAUGUGUUUGCCACACAUACUGGAAGAAAAAAUCAAACGCAAAGUAGCUACUGUCAACUUAGAGAGUGUGAACACGCAAAUCAUGCAGUCGAUGAUUAUUAUGUCAUCUAGAAGACUGGUUCAGAUGGGAGAUCAAUUAGAUCGAAAUUAUAAAAAAAUUCAAGAUGGCCGAAUUUACGACAACAAAAGAAAACAAAAAAGAAAUGAGGAUGAACGUGAGAAUUUGUUCAUGGUGGUUUGCAACCAAGCAGUUUAUUUAAUACUCAGGCUGAUAUUUUAAAUAUUAAAAUGGUAGCUGCUCUACCGGAACAUGUAAUUAUAUUUGUACAGAAUUUGUGCAAAGUUGAAAACUUUUUUUAAGUAAAACAAUAUAUACGAGCAAGGAUUAGUAAAAAUUUAUCUUAGUAAGUUCAGGAACGGUUUUAAAUAUAAUAUGUUGAUCAUGAUUUUUCUUACCGCUAAUUUGAAAUUGCGAAGAUUUCAUUCUAUGUACGAAUCUUUUUUCCUACCUGAUGAUAUUCAAUUUUUGUGUAAAAAACCAAUGAUCAAUUUACUUGACUAUACUGUUGACUGAAAAUAGGAAAAAUGGACUGUUUUUUUUUGCAUAAGAUUGCGAUAUUUUCCCUCCUUUUUUCUAAAUGUUUUAAAAUGUUUUUUAUAAUUUUUUUCCAACUGGCAAGAACAUAUUUCUUCAUCGCUAUAUCUAUAGUUUGCCUUGAUAAUCCAUAUCAUUGUUUUAAUAAUUUAAAAUAAAAUCAAAGCCAUAGCAAGAAAAAUAAAAUUUGCAGAGUGUAAAAGAACGGUAGUGGAGGGGUGGAGCUCACUAAAAUCUCGAAAACUUCGUAGUCUAAAGUUAACAAAAAAAAUUGAAAAAUACUUUGAUGACUAAACAUUUAGGAAAUAUUCAUCACUCACUCCCAACCUUUUCCCCAGACCUUUUUUCUAUUCAUGGUGCAUUUUUCUACGUCUGGGGUCAAGCUUACCCUUCUCUGUUACUUGCUAUGGUCCUGGAAUUUGUUACACAUUUCAUGUGGAUAAGUAAAUAUGAAGUCUCCACGACAUUUUUUAACCAUGGAAAAUUUGCCAUAAAGUAUAGCGAACUGAAGGGUAUGUUUUUUUACCAAUAUUGAUAUAUAUAUAUAUAUAUAUGUAUAACAUAUAUAAUAUAUAUAUUUAAUAUUUGUUUGUUAUUAUAUUUUUAGGAAAUUUAUAACUGUUAAUAAUUUUAAAGAAAAUUUGAAACGAAAACUUUUUAUUUCAAUAAUGAUAAAAUAUUAAUUUUAAAAUUUUUAGAGUAACACUAACCUCGCUUUCAUGGAAUUUUUUUCCUACAAAAAAUUUAAAAACACCAUGAAAACGAGGUUAGUUGGGAGGUUAACAUCAUUUUUUAUUUUUUUUAAGGAUAGGCUAAAUAUUUUUAUUUUAAUUUUUUUAAACAAAAAUUACUUUUACUCCUAAAAGUUGAUAUAUCUUAGCGUUUGUAGCUAUUGCCUUAAACAUCUUUUGGUGGUUUCUCAGCUUAUGAACAUUUAGUUGCGUUAAAGCAGCAUAUAAGAUUUACAACUCAUGUAUAUAUAUAUACGCAAAAAUAUAAGAACGAACUUGUAUAAUUAAUUUUAAAUAAGAAUUUCCCUUA